GACGAACGCUGGCGGCGUGCCUAAUACAUGCAAGUUGAGCGCUGAAGGUUGGUACUUGUACCGACUGGAUGAGCAGCGAACGGGUGAGUAACGCGUGGGGAAUCUGCCUUUGAGCGGGGGACAACAUCUGGAAACGAAUGCUAAUACCGCAUAAAAACUUUAAACACAAGUUUUAAGAUUGAAAGAUGCACUUGCAUCACCCAAAGAUGAUCCCGCGGUUUAUUAGCUAGUUGGUGAGGUUAAGGCCCACCAAGGCGAAGGUACAUAGGCGGACUGGGAGGGUGGUCCGCCACAAUGGGACUUGGGACCCGCCCAAGCUCCUUCGGGGAGCCGCCGUAGGGGAACUUCGGCAAUUGGCGGAAGUCUUACCGGGGAACGCCGCGUGGGGGAAGGAGGGUUUCGGGUCGUUAAACCCCGUUGAUUGGGAAGGAAGAUGUGGGGAAUGAAAAGCGCAUCAAGUGACGGUAACUACCCAGAAAGCCACGGCUAACUACGUG
rnacentral:rRNA from 1 species